AGAGUUUGAUCAUGGCUCAGAUUGAACGCUGGCGGCAUGCCUUACACAUGCAAGUCGAACGGCAGCAUGGAGAGCUUGCUCUCUGAUGGCGAGUGGCGAACGGGUGAGUAAAGCAUCGGAACGUACCGUGUAGUGGGGGAUAACGUAGCGAAAGUUACGCUAAUACCGCAUACGCACUGAGGUGGAAAGCAGGGGAUCGCAAGACCUUGCGCUAUACGAGCGACCGAUGUCAGAUUAGCUAGUUGGUAGGGUAAAGGCCUACCAAGGCGACGAUCUGUAGCGGGUCUGAGAGGAUGAUCCGCCACACUGGGACUGAGACACGGCCCAGACUCCUACGGGAGGCAGCAGUGGGGAAUUUUGGACAAUGGGGGCAACCCUGAUCCAGCCAUGCCGCGUGAGUGAAGAAGGCCUUCGGGUUGUAAAGCUCUUUCGGCCGGGAAGAAAUCGCACAGGCUAAUAUCCUGUGUGGAUGACGGUACCGGCAUAAGAAGCACCGGCUAACUACGUGCCAGCAGCCGCGGUAAU
rnacentral:rRNA from 1 species